ensembl:lncRNA
UUUUUUGGAUCCAAAUCACAAAUUUCAGGUACUAUUUAUAUUGUAUUUAUAUUGCAUAUAAUCAUAAUAAAUACUGAAGCUGGUUUAAAAUCAAUCUGCCUUUGAUGAGCUCAUAAACUCUUUUGAUUUCUAUGUUUAUUGGGAUUUAAACAAAGAUGUAUCAAAAAUAAUUACAGACACUUUUUAGUAAUGUGACUUAAAAAUGCUACAGCUUGUUAGUUUGUCUUUUUUUAAAGGUAUUUAAGAAGGAACUGUUGACCCUCUCUGAAAAGCUUCCUGUUCUUUCUUUGUUAAAGUGGUGUAGUUUCCUGGUGUGUCAGUAGAGCUGCUGUCUGCGUGAGACUCGAUCUGACUCUCUUCUGCUGGGAUUGGACUCUUCUGGAAACUGGACUUCAGAGAAAUGAUGCUGAUCUUUGGCCUGAUGCUGCUGCUGCAAACUGCUGCAUGUCUGGAGUUGAACUGCAGUUUUAAUCAGUAUGUACCCUGUUACGCAGCUCUGGAACACAAACUCAAUCUGCUGAUGGAGCGGGACACUCGAGAAUAUGAGCUGAAGAUAAUAAAGAGAAUAAACAACAUUCACGAUGAUCCAAUUUGUAGAGUAAAGAAUGGCAGGAUGAGGGAAUGUGAUCUUUAUAAUAACAGACCUGAAGUGAACAUCAUUAAUGGGACUGUGAUAAUAAACCGUGUGAUCAGAGCAGAUUCUGGGAAUUACAGAUUAACACUCACUGACUCAGACGGCACAGAAACAUCUAGAGAUCUUCAAGUGAUUGUUGAAGCUCCAGUUGCCUCAGUGGAAGUGUCAAUCAGCUGCUCCUCCAAUCAGAGGUCAGUGUCCUGCUCCUCAGAGGGGGAUCAGCUCCUCUACAGCUGGACUCUGAAUGGAGAUCCACUGAUGGAUGGAAACAGCAGCAUUGAUCUGGAUGAGGGAACUGAUGGAAACAUCAGCUGCAGCGUGAAGAACCACGUCAGUCACGUACAGAAGACCAUUAGAAUCAAAACCUGUCCUGGUCCAGAUCGUUUUUGCAGUUUUUAUCAAUCAGAUUCCUGUUACGCAGCUGUGGGAGACGAUCUUAAUCUACUGAUGGUGCGGGAUGCUCGAGAUCAAGAGCUGCAUUUGUAUAAGGAGUUAAUGGAUAGCAGAGAACUGGAAGUUUUUAGAAUAAAGAACAAAAAAGAGAAAAAACAUGAAUCCAUCAGAAACAGAUCUGAGUUCAUCUUUGAUAAUGGGACUCUGAUAAUAAACCGUGUGAUCAGAGCAGAUUCAGGGAAUUACAGAUUAGAAUUCUAUCACUCAGACGGUUUAAGACCGUUUAAAAAGCUUCUUCGUAUUAAUAUUGAAGCUCCUACUGGCUCAGUGGAAAUGUCAAUCAGCUGCUCCUCCAAUCAGAGGUCAGUGUCCUGCUCCUCUGAGGGCGAUCAGAUCAUCUACAGCUGGACUUUGAAUGGAGAAAUACUAGAACAAGGACCAAUGGAUGGAAUCACCACCAUUCAGCUAAAUGAGGAAACUGAUGGAAACAUCAGCUGCAGUGUCAAGAACCACAUCAGUCACGCACAGAAGACAAUUAAAGUCAAACCCUGUCCUGGUCCGGAUCGGUUCUGCAGUUUUAAUCAAUCAGAUCCCUGUUACACAGCUCUGGGAGACAAACUCAAUCUGCUGAUGGUGCUGAACACUAGAGAAUAUGACCUGAAGAUAUGUAAGAGGAUAUACAACACUCAAGAUGAUCCAGUUUGUAGAGUAAAAUAUGGCAGGAUGAAGGAAUGUGAUCUUAAUAAUAACAGACCUGAAGUGAACAUCAUUAAUGGGACUGUGAUAAUAAACCGUGUGAUCAGAGCAGAUUCUGGGAAUUACAGAUUAACACUCACUGACUCAAAAGGCACAGAAACAUCUAGAGAUCUUCAAGUGAUUGUUGAAGCUCCUAUUGGCUCAGUGGAAGUGUCAAUCAGCUGCUCCUCCAAUCAGAGGUCAGUGUCCUGCUCAUCUGACGGGGAUCACAUCAUCUACAGCUGGACUCUGAAUGGAGAAAUACUAGAACAAGGACCAAUGAAUGGAAACACCUCCAUUCAGCUAAAUGAGGGAACUGAUGGAGACAUCAGCUGCAGCGUGAAGAACCACGUCAGUCACACACAGAAGAACAUUAGACUCAAACACUGUCCUGGUGAGCUUCUAAUACAUGAAUGUCACAUAUACAUAAGAACUAAAGCAACACUGAUCAUGUAA